GAUGAAGAACGCAGCGAAAUGCGAUAAGUAAUGUGAAUUGCAGAAUUCAGUGAAUCAUCGAAUCUUUGAACGCACCUUGCGCCCUUUGGCUAUUCCGAAGGGCAUGCCUGUUUGAGUAUCAUGAACACCUCAACUCUCAUGGUUUGCCAUGAUGAGCUUGGACUUUGGGGGUCUUGCCGGCCUAUGGGUCGGCUCCUCUCAAAUUAAUCAGCUUGCCAGUGUUUGGUGGCAUCACAGGUGUGAUAACUAUCUACGCUUGUGGUUUUCCAUCAGGUAACCUUCAGAGAUGGAGGUUCGCUGGGGCUCAUAAAUGUCUCUCCUCAGUGAGGACAGCUUUUUUGAACGUUUGAUCUCAAAUCAGGUAGGACUACCCGCUGAACUUAAGCAUAUCAAUAAGCGGAGGA
rnacentral:misc_RNA from 1 species